rnacentral:rRNA from 1 species
ACAACUUUCAACAACGGAUCUCUUGGCUCUCGCAUCGAUGAAGAACGCAGCGAAAUGCGAUAAGUAAUGUGAAUUGCAGAAUUCAGUGAAUCAUCGAAUCUUUGAACGCACCUUGCGCUCCUUGGUAUUCCGAGGAGCAUGCCUGUUUGAGUGUCAUGAAU